AGAUGUAAUAUAUUUGAAAAAAUGAAGGCUAGUCUUUAAUGGAUUGAGUAUCUUGUUCUUCGGUUGAUAUUUCUAAAUACCUUACAUUUUAAGAAUUUUGUCUUUUGUUUUAUUGGCCAUAUUGAGGUUGGCUACCAUUUGAUGGAAUAAAUCCUUAUUGAAUAUUUAAAAUUGAUGAAAGAUGUUGGAUUUAAUGAUUAUUAUUAUAAUUAUAGAAUAAAUUAGGAGGUCUU
rnacentral:lncRNA from 1 species